AGACAGAGUCUCGCUUUGUUGCCCAGGCUGGAGUGCAGUGGCGUGAUCUCGGCUCACUGCAACCUCCGCCCCCCGACGCUCAAGUGAUUCUCCUGUCUCAGCCUCCCGAGUAGCUGAGGUGGGAGGACUGCUUGAGCCUGGGAGUUCAAGACCAGCCUGGGCAACAUAGUGAGACCCCAUCUCUACAAAAAAAAUAAAAAAAUAGCUGGGUGUGGUAGCAUGUGCCUGUAGUCCCAGCUACUCAGGAGGCUGAUGUGGGAGGACAGCUUGAGCUCAGGAGGUUUAGGCUGCAGUGAGCUAAGAUAGUGCCACUGCACUCCAGCUUCAGCUACAGAGCAAGACCCUGUCUCUAAAAAUAUAAAGAAAGAAAAUUUAAAAGUAAAGAAAAAGUGGAUCAUUCGGUCCUUUAAGAUGUGGCACUGCCCAAUUAGAACUUUCCUCCAUGCAAUGCAAUUACAGUCACUGAGGCACUGGAUUUUCUAGUUUUAUUUAACUAAGACGGAGACUGAAACAGCCACACGUGGCUCCUGGCUACUGUGCUGCUGAACACAGGCCCUCACUACUCAAAAGUGUGGUCCGUGGACCAGCAGUAUUAGCAUUACCAGGGAGCUCCUUAGGAACAUAGGUCCUUGAUCAGGUGUGGUGGCUCACACCUAUAACCCCAGCACUUUGGGAGGCCAAGGCAGGAGGAUCACUUGAGCCCAGGAGUUCAAGACCAGCCUGGGCAACAUAGUGAAACCUCGUCUCUACAAAAAAAUACAUUAGCCAGCUGUGGUGGUAUGUGCCUGUAGUCCCAGGAGGCUGAGGUGGGAGGAUCGCUUGAGCCUGGGGGAGGUUGAGGCUACAUUGAGCCAUGAUCGCCUCACCUGGGUGACAAAGUGAGACUGUGUCUCAAAAAAGAAAAAGAAAAGAAAUGUAGGCCCUUAGCCUGUACCUCCCCAGCCUGUUAGGCAGAAUCUGAAUUCCACAAAAACACCCCCAAGGGAUUUAGGAGGAUGUUGAAAUCUGAGACCCUCCCAUGGUUGAGGCCACCAGUCACUUACACACAAAUGCCUUCCUCUGCAGCACCAGGAGACAGAGCCCAUCACAGAACUUCUCAGGGUGCCUCCUACACCACACUAGCUUUGUGUGUUUGUUCUUUAAUGCCUCAAGGCAUACUACUAGCCAAGGAGAGUAACUAACAGCAGCUGUUGAACACUAUGGGUCAGACUUUGACCAUCUGUUAUGGACUGAAUUGUGUCACCUACCCAUGACUAAAUUCAUAUGCUGAAGCUCUGACCUCCAACAGGGACUGUAUUUGGAGACAGGGCCUUUGGGAGGUAAUUAAGGUUAAAUAAGGUCAUAAGGGUGGGGUGAUAAGCUGACAAAAGGGAGGCUGGUUGUGGUGGCUCACGCCUGUAAUCCCAGCACUUUGGGAGGCAGAGGUGGGUGGAUCACUUGAGGUUAGCAGUUCAAAACCAACCUGGCCAACGUGGUGAAACCCCACCUCUACU
rnacentral:lncRNA from 10 species